rnacentral:misc_RNA from 1 species
AUUUAAAAACAUCUCGAAGCAAAAGGAACUGAAUUCAAUCUGUACUAAUAAUUCAACUGAAUUUAACUAAGCCUUAAUCUCGACCUAGUUAGGGUCAGGGAUCAAUUUUUCACAAUUCUGCUUAGUUAAUCUCAAACCUAGUUGAUGUCAACGGCAUUCAUUUCCCCACACAACGUUGCUUUUUUAAGGGUGACAUUAUUAGAAAGGUCUAGUGAUUGCUUUUGAUAAUGAUCAGAAAUUUAAUACAUUAUUUUGGAAGUGGUUCCUAGUAUUCAGGACAGCUUUAGAUAAAACUCUCUUUUGUAGCCAUUUUUAGAGAAGGAAUUGUGGGAUUUACAUAUGUGAUGUUGCUCAAAAUGUGCACCCAAGUGUUUUCAUGCAAGGAACUACUAAAGAUG